CUGUGUCUACAACGAUCGUGCCAAUCAGUAGCUGUUCACGAGUGAUUUGGACGUCGGCACUUUGUUUGUGUUGGCAAAGAAAACUUUCUGAAAUCAGUGACUAAGUGUAUCGUAUUGCAAAAUAUUCUUAUACCUAAAUGGAGUGUUGUAAAAAAAGUUUAGUAGAGUUUUAGAAAAAUAAAAAAUAAACGUUUCGCUGUAAAUACCCUAAGGGACGGAGAACCGCAGGCAUACUUAGAAGACGCCACCGUUACGACUGCCCCGACUGCCUACAAUGGAUUUCAAUAACAGAACCAGAGCUCGGGCACCAACACACUACUCGCAUGUGCUGCUCCUCAUAUCUUCACCACCAGCGCCGUAGCGACAGCAGCAGCAGCUUUAGAAAAAAUGCCGAAUUCCAGAAGCGACUACUAAACAAUCAAUUGGAUUACAAAAAGUACGCUUAGGCGAUAUUAUCAGUAUAGAGUGCAGCUGGGGAAAAAGGAAAUGUAUGGCAGCAGUAGCAGGCGGCUAGGACGACUACGACGAGGAGGAUGACUUUUGAAAUUAAGAGGGCAUAAGUUGGGCUGUUGCUCCUCCACAGCGCGUCACACAUUCACACACACACACAUGCGCAUGCAUGCAUACAUCACACACAGUUCGCUACAGUGCGCUACCUUUGAAGCGACGCAUAACAAGCGAAAGGUAAAGCGGUAAGAGGACAGUCAGGUAAAAUGUGCAACGUGCAACUGCGAAUUGGUACCGCCUUGGCUGCCAACUGCCGACUUCAAUCUUAUUAUACGACGAAAAGGAACGAAAUUUUUCAGUGGUACGCGUCCGCAAAACUGCACAAAGGUGAAUACAAUGCGGAAUGCUUUCUAAGAUUCUUGUCGUUGCUGAGUAAAUGCAUUUCGAAUAUUCGUUGUUGGCGGCAUUGGCAUCGGUUGCAUCAACCGCGAGUGGUGGCUAGCACGCUGGCAAGCAGAUGAGUCAACAAUAGCAACAAAAAUGUAGCUUGUGCCUGAGGGCAGAGUGGGCUGUGGCCGAAAAAUCGUACGCGCCUAGUCAAAGGAUGUGAUGAUGGCGGUGGCGGCGACGAACGCGUGCCGUUGUUUUUCAAAUGCUUUGGAUGCUGCCGCCACCGCCACCGCUGCCACGCAAUUAAAUUUACGAAUGCUGCCAAUGUAAAAGCGCACGUGGUCACCAAAUAGUCAACUGCAACAAACACAAACAGAAGCGGAGACAAACGAAAACGGAGUAGAGAGUUUAGUUGGUGAACUAAAAACGUACAAAAUUAACGAAAACCAUUGAAAUACCAGUGACGGGGGCGCAGCGCAUCGCGGAGUGCUGUGCUGUGCUUUCGGCAUAAUACGCACCGCAAGCGAUGCCAGGCGUAAGCGCGCGCGCAGGAGGCGCUGAACGGUAGGGUACAUACACCUAAAGAGGAGCGCAACUGAAGGUUUGCCGCCAAGAUGCGCGCUGGAAAUUUCGUACACAUACAGAAAUAUGCAUAUGUUCCGUGUGUGUGUGUUUGUUUUUGAAUCGAUACGCGAAUUAGCCGCAAGUACAUUAGCUGCGGAAGUUCAAUGCUUUCUCGUGUAGAUAAAACAAAUGGCGGUUGACUUUUGUUAAACUGCUAGGCGGCAUAGGCACUUACGCGUAUGUACAGAUGUGAUCGUUUGUCGCGCAUGCGCAGCUAGUUAUUGACAGUCGAUAUUUUCGUGCCAAGCAAAAAUUUACAGCGAAAACAAUAAUAAAAGACAUAGAACUAAAUGUAAAAUUUUCGCUGUUGUUAUUGGGCUUGUAAUUGCCAAGAAAAUUAAAGCUAUGCCUGUAUGUAUGUGUGAAUAAAAGUCAUUGAAUGAAAA